CGAGGUGCGCGCAAGCUGGUUCGAACACCACGGUUAUCAAAAAAAAAAAAAGAGUAAAGAGUUGCCAAAUUGUUUCUUCUGACUCAGCCAUAGCUUUAUAAGCUUGGUAUAUCCUAAACACUAGAAGGAUAAUUGAGAUGUUAAAGUUUGUUGCUGUGCACUACAUUCAACUUAUUUGGGAAAUGGGCAUCUUCUGUUAAGUGAGAGAUGAAAAAUUAGAUGUUCAGUAAAAAGUAUUAUGGUUUCCUUGUAUCUUAGAUGCCAUCAACUUACUUUCAAAAGUUUGCUUAUCUUUCUUUUUAUUGUUUUUAUAAUUCUCAUAAAGAGAUCUUAACAAUUUUGGUUUUUGCAUUAUGAGGAAACUGUUCUUUUUGGAAGUUGUCUACUAGGAUAAGGACAGCCCAGUACACUAAAGCUACUGCUAUGCGCGGUGUCCGGGAAAGGGCCCCACCACAAGGGUGUAUCGUAUGCAGCCUUACCUUGCAUUUCUGUUAGAGGCUGUUUCCAAGGCUUCAACCCGUGACCUUCUGGUCACAUAGCAGCAACUUUACCAGUUACUCCAAGGCUCCCCUUCAAGUUGUCUACUAGGAUCAUCGAAUAUUUUUGAAACUGUGAAGUUUAUGGUGCAGAAUAAGAUGUGGAAUUUAGGCUUGAUAGUUUUAUGGUUUGUAUUUUUAGCUAAACUGAUUAUGCUGGAAAAUAUUAUUCUUAGGUACAACAGACUUCUAGCAAAAAGUUUGUUCCUGAAAUACCUAUACCCGAGUAUGUGGUGGUGGUUACAUAUGAAAGAGAUUAUUCACGCACUUUUGCUCAGCCAACAUCUUAUAUUCAUGCUAGAGGAGCCCGAGCCGAGAUUGGAGAAUUUGUUGAGUGCGAUCUUGACAAUGAGGAUGAAGAUUGGCUCCAAGACAUAAACAGAGAGAGAAAGGCUCUUGCAGCUGAAAUGUUGGAGACCAUUCUGCACAAAUUAGAGGUUUUAGAUCACAAGGCCCG